UCUGCGCGGGCUGGUGGAGGUGCUGCGGCGCCUGCGCGAGUUCGACUACUGCACGCUCGACGGGAUACACUUCUUCGAGGUCACCGAGUCCGACAUAUUCGGCACGGUCGAGUGGCGACAACAGAAGCUGGAAGACGGAGACGGCAAGCGCAAGCUGAGACACGACCUGAGCAGGCUGGAGGGCUACCGGCACUUCAAAGAUUUGUAGAUCUUUUGCGGUUUUUUAAUACAUUUACAUUGUUUUCUA